GUGUUGGAAAAACCUCGAGGAUCCACAAGUUCAACCCACCCCCACAAUGCCCACUGACCAUGUCCCUCCGUGCCGCAUCCCCACGGCUCUAGAACGGCUCCUCGAGCAGCCUGUCCCAAUGCAUCACCACUCUUUCGGAGAAUAAACGUGUCCUGCUAUCCAAAGGGGCACCUCCCGUGGAGCAACUUCAGGCCAUUACCUCUUGUCCUAUCAUGGAAUGGCUUGAGUUGGAAGGGACCUCAAGGAUCAUCAAGUUCCAAACCCCUGUCACAGGCAGGGUUGCCAGCCUCAAGAUCUUGUUCUAGAUCAGAUUGCCCAGAGCCCCGUCUAGCCUGGCCUAUCACCCACUUGUAAUUGGCCCACAGUGCUUGGUGGCAGCAGCAUGGCUGCUCAGCUGAGUUUGGGCUGCAGGGAUAAUGGGGAGGGGCGUGAGGAAGAGAUAGCAAGGAGCGGUACACCAAAUGUCUUAGAGCAAAAAUGAUAGGAGAAAAAAAACACCCUCCAAGGAUGCUUUUGUGACAGAAGCAGAUGAAAGAGAAAGAAAAUCAGGGCGGCUAUCAGUUAUGUAUGAGUAGGAGGCUGCGUUCUUUUCCGUGAUAAAUCUUUUCAGGUGCUGUUACCCUGUGGGACACUAGGCAGGUGUUACUGUUACAUCCUGUUUUGUAAACCCAAAAUGAAUAACAAACCUCUCAAGCAAAACUUUUCGGAGAAGGAAUGUUUGUCACGCUGACUCAGUUGAGCAUAGUGUUAUCUUUGGUAUGUAGAUGCAUUUUUUUUUUUUUUUGUUAAUAGGAAGUCAAAAUGAGUAACAUCUAAUGAACUGAUAAAGCAACAUUUCCAAAGAAUACAACCGUGAGAGAAGUCGAGGAUUUGAUGAAUUAUAUCUUCUGCCUACAUUUGCUAAUCAGCUAUUGCAAGAGUGAUGAGAAGGCUGACACGCAUGAGAAAUACCCUUCUGAUAAUAAGCAUUUUGUUUCACACUUUUCUAGGCUCAUAAAACUUGAAUCAAGUCACGUCCCAAUAGCUUUCCACUCUUGUCCACCUCUGAAGUUUGUGAUACCAUCAAGCUAUGGGAAGGCCAAGCUAUUAUUUAUUUUUUUUAACCUAUGCAGAAAUGCUAGGAUCUGAAAGUCUUUAAAUAUUUAUCACUCACGUUAUAAAUAUUUUUAUAAGUGUAAUUCCUUGUCUUUCAGCUAUUGUCACAGAGAGUGAGGUGGGAGGAGAACUUCAGUCCGGCUGCAAGAUUGGUCCCAGCGUGUGCUGGAACGCAGACAAACUGAAUGUUUUAUCCCCAACUUAUAGAAAAAUGGAGGCGAGGAAGUGAAGGCAUUCAUUUUUAAGGAGUAGAAGCGCUAAUUUAAAGAAUAAUGCUCAGAGUGAAGUCUGGACCGGGAGCGCUGUUCUGUGUGAAGCACCAUGACUCAGAGCAGCUUUGGGUGUACACGAGGAGUUCUGACCUAAUGAGGCACUGUGCAACUCAAAACCACACAAAGUCAUACGAAGCUCCAGGUUCAGCCACUUUAAAAUAAGCUGUUAAUUGCUGCAGAGCUUCAGGAGUACACAACUGAUGAGCACGGAGCAUCUGUGGCAAAGGGAAAAAACACCGUCUUCAAAUUUUGAGGAGCAAACAUGACCCUUUCUGUUUUUACUGAUUUCCACCCACAUUUGGUUAAUGUGAGAGAAGGAGGAAAAUGAAAGAAGCAGAGAGAUUUUCUUUGCAUGGAAGGACUGAAGAAUGUAUUGUUUUCUCAGUCACAAGCAAGUGCUUUCAUCACCGUUUUUGCUCUACAUUCUAAGUGACAGAGAGUUUUCUAUGUUUUACUUGUAUAACUUAGGAGAGGUCACAUUUGUAAAAGUCCCUCCGCAGAAGUGAGCCUUCUCUUUGGAUGUAUGCAAAUUCUACAGCACAUAUGCAGUUUGUAACUUGCCGAUAGGUAUAAGCAUAUGCAAAAUGGAGAUUAAAUGUGUAUAUGCAAGUUUGCAAAAUUAAUCAACCAAGAAUAUACAGAACUGCAAAUGCUUUGUUGAAAAGAUUUAUGAAUUAGCCUCCUAUGGAAGCUUUCACUCAGGGAUGCUAAAUACACUUCAUUUUUUAUCAAUAAUUAAUAAUUUAUAAGAUUUACACGAUAAUAUUAUUCACCCAUAAUAGCGUUUUAAAAACAUAUCCCAUUCUUGUAAGGACCUGUCAGUACUUCUGCCUAUUCACAAGUGCUUUAGUGGUGCUUUUUAUGAGUAUAAAAUGCUGCCAGUCUGGAGCCCCUCCAGGAUUAGAUCUUAAUCCCUAAAGAUACGUAAGUGCUACCACCUCUGUUUCACAGAUUGAAAACUGGGAGUUGAAUGGGAAAAUGCAUGCAGAUUUACACACAGUCCAUCAUGGACUAAAGAAAGAAAGUUUAGACACCAAACUUGUAAAGAGUAUUGUAAGAACAAUUACUUUCCCUUCUUAGAGACACUUUCAUAUCAGUAGCUGAUCUGAACAUUAUCAGCAGAGAAAUUGAAGCCCUUGGCCUAACUGCAAGUCCUGUGUUUCCGCAUACAGCUGGUAGCCUACCCUUGAUUCCUUCUGUUUUCAGAAACUGAAAAAGGAGUUCAAAUGAUUCUCGCAGUGCAAGAGGCAAAAAAGCAAUGUUUCCCUUCAAUACACCUUUUACUAGAACUGGAUACAAUGGGGUGUAAUUGCUUUCAGAACAUUAAAAAUAUCUGCUAUCUUCCUCCCAUCCUAGGUAGAAUAGAAGUCUGAUGUGUUUUUGCUUUGUAAUUUUCUAAAACGAAUAAUUCUGAUUUAACCAAACCUCUUCAGAAGGAAACUGACUGAUAUUAUCUUACUUCCCUCUUUUCUUAUUGCGGAAUUGUUGAGAGAAUGCCAGUUGUUGCUACUUGUCAUCACAGCUUUCUAUUGCUUGUUGAGGACAAUAAAUAUGAACCAGAAGACUACUUAAAAACUGACCAGCAUGCAGAAUUCAAAUGUGUAGGUAGUAACACAAUGACAAUAUAAAUCUAGUCUUUCAUUCAUUCCUUAAUUGCAAACACACACAUAUACAUGCACACAAAUUGUGCCUUCUGAAAAACAAUUCUAUUUUAUAUGACUUCACAGAAUUUGUUCAGCAAAAAUGUUGAAGAAUUUUUACUUCUCAGGUACUAAGCUGUGAGUGAAUGAACAUCUCUGUCUUUCAAAGGGUUGCAGCAAAAGUCAUUGACACUUGUUAUCAUCAAAAGUAGGAAAACUGGGAACUGCAACGUGAAAUUGAACUGCCAAGGCUGAUGAUAGCUCAGAUAUUUCUGACUCCACACAGAAGGCCUAUUUUGUCCCACAUGUGUGGUAUUAAGAGACUGUAAGGUUCUGUUUGCCUCUGAACUGGGUUAAUGGAUCCUGAGGACAGUCCUCCCAGCAAUAGCACAUAUUAAGGGAUCUGCACAGGUUUCACAGCUGCACAGCGCUGAGUUGCUCUGCUAGGCAUGAGCUAAUGUACGGUUGAUUUCUCUCUGGGGGGCACUUUGAUUCUGGGUUUCAGAGGGGACCCUUUCAGCAUUCCUAAUGAUGUUUUUGGCUACAAAGCCUGGCACCGUUAAAGCGUUGGUGAGGGCUCUGCACAACUGACACCAAAGAAAUGCAGCUGAAAGAGCUGUAGCAAAAGCUGUCACACCACUGCUGCCCACCACUCAAACUGAAAAAGGUAUAAGUACCAAAAAAAAAAAAAACCAAGCUCUGUGAGCAGAGUAACAAAGCUGUUUGCUAUUACGGACAAAAGCUGCAGGAAAAAAAAAAAUGAAGAGGAAAUGGGCUGUAUUACUGUGAGUUGGCACAGAAAUGAAAUACCAGGGUGCAAUUUAUGUAUAGUAAUUGUUCACGAAGCAUUCUUUUGGUUUUGAUAGUGACUCAUUGUGUUCUUUGUGACCUUUGAUGUACAGGAUGGGCUGCUAGAAGACAGAGGAAGCCACAGUAAGAAUAUAAAACUUUAUUAACUUAAGAUUUUGUUGGUUUGUUUUGUUUUGUUUUGUUUUUAUUGCUCACUGAUCAUAGGUAAUGUCUCUGGAAAAGACUACCAGGGGCAUUUACUUGAGCCCUCAUGGUUUUUGCCUUCCCUCCCAGGCAUUUGCAGUUGAAAAAUAGCUCUGGUUUAGCUGAGAAAUCGCUUUGAUUUUAA